ensembl:lncRNA
AUGUCAGGGAGAUGCUGUGUGUAUCUAGGUGAAAACAAAAGCACUUUAUUUGGCCUUCCGAAAGUAGAUGCAUUUAGGAAGAUUACUUACAACAGAACAGCAAUGCAUUUUAUGGACAACCGUUUCAUGAACCUAGGAGAGGAGAUGUCGUCUGAGUAGAGUGGUAUUGUUCAGACCCCAAACUAAUGAAAAGUAAAGACCAGCCUCGUGGGGAAAGAUCUCAUUUCAGUGGUGAGUAGCUAAUCUCCUGGUGGGGAGCAUCAGCCUUCCAAUAACAAGAGUAAUGAUGGGCCACAGCUAAUAAUAUAAACGUCAAUACUGAACCACUGAGGCCUGUUGCAUGAAGGGUUUUUUUUUUUUUUACCAAGUUCACGUUUAGUUUGAGCAAACUCUGAGCUUUUGGUCUCAAGAAAGUGGGUUGGUUUUGAAUGGGUUUCAUCGUCAUGUAACUUAAGUUACACAGCUACCCUGCACCAGAACAGGUUUUAUUCUGGGUUAGAGUUCACAAACCCAAACAGGACCAAUCAGCUGUGAGCAAAUAAUUCAAGUAAAAGAAUUAUAGAGACAAAAAUGCUGUUAAUCAUAUAUUAUAUUCAUAUUAUAUGAAUUAUUAUGAAUUAUAGUUAUAAUUCUUUAAAAGCCAGAUGAUUUUAUCUUUAAAAAUGUUUUACCAUGUAGUCCCCUUUUUAAUAUGGAGCAAGAGAAACUGGGGGAAGUGACUUUAAUGUGUCAGAGAUGUGUCACUUUGCUCAAAUCAAGUUUUGGUUUAAGAUCUCUGAACCAGAACAUAACCUGCCCCAGAGCAAAUUAGCUGUGGAUCGUAAGUUAUUAUGGUGAUGAACACAGAUUAAAGCCAAACUACUUUCAUAGUACCUAAAAACGAGAGUUGGCGCAAACUAAAUUGAAACUUACCUUGCUAGCAAGCCAGGGGUGAUUCUAGGAUUUUAAUUUUAGGGGGACUCAGCCCCAUAUGAGGGUAUAUAUAUAUAUUGUUUGACUAACACGGGUGGUAUAAUAAACUAAGGCUAUAUACCA